rnacentral:sRNA from 1 species
CGAAAGCCUGACGGAGCAAUACCGCGUGAGGGAGGAAGGCUCUUGGGUUGUAAACCUCUUUUCUCAGGGAAGAAAUCUGACGGUACCUGAGGAAUCAGCAUCGGCUAACUCCGUGCCAGCAGCCGCGGUAAUACGGAGGAUGCAAGCGUUAUCCGGAAUGAUUGGGCGUAAAGCGUCCGCAGGUGGCAGUUCAAGUCUGCUGUCAAAGACCGGGGCUCAACCCUGGAAAGGCAGUGGAAACUGAACAGCUAGAGUGCGGUAGGGGCAGAGGGAAUUCCCAGUGUAGCGGUGAAAUGCGUAGAGAUUGGGAAGAACACCGGUGGCGAAAGCGCUCUGCUAGACCGCAACUGACACUCAGGGACGAAAGCUAGGGGAGCGAAUGGGAUUAGAUACCCCAGUAGUCCUAGCCGUAAACGUUGGAUACUAGGCGUUGCUCGUAUCGACCCGAGCAGUGUCGUAGCUAACGCGUUAAGUAUCCCGCCUGGGGAGUACGCCGGCAACGGUGAAACUCAAAGGAAUUGACGGGGGCCCGCACAAGCGGUGGAGUAUGUGGUUUAAUUCGAUGCAACGCGAAGAACCUUACCAAGACUUGACAUGUCGCGAACCCUGCUGAAAGGUGGGGGUGCCUUCGGGAGCGCGAACACAGGUGGUGCAUGGCUGUCGUCAGCUCGUGUCGUGAGAUGUUGGGUUAAGUCCCGCAACGAGCGCAACCCUCGUUUUUAGUUGCCAGCGGGUAAAGCCGGGCACUCUAGAGAGACUGCCGGUGACAAACCGGAGGAAGGUGGGGAUGACGUCAAGUCAGCAUGCCCCUUACGUCUUGGGCAACACACGUACUACAAUGCUACGGACAAAGGGCAGCAAGUUAGCAAUGACAAGCAAAUCCCACAAACCGUGGCUCAGUUCAGAUUGGAGGCUGCAACUCGCCUCCAUGAAGUCGGAAUCGCUAGUAAUUGCAGGUCAGCAUACUGCAGUGAAUUCGUUCCCGGGCCUUGUACACACCGCCCGUCACACCAUGGAAGCUGGCCACGCCCGAAGUCGUUACCCUAACCGCAAGGAGGGGGACGCCGAAGGCAGGGCUGGUGACUGGGGUGAAGUCGUAACAAGGUAGCCGUACCGGAAGGUGUGGCUGGAUCACCUCCUUUACAGGGAGACCUACCCCAUCGGUAUCGAAAGAAAAUCUAGAGAUAACGAUGAGGUCACCCCUAAGGUCGGUCGAGGAAAUGGUGUGGCUUUUCAACUAUAAUCGGUUCGGUAUCAUAGUCGGGGCUAUUAGCUCAGGUGGUCAGAGCGCACCCCUGAUAAGGGUGAGGUCCCUGGUUCGAGUCCAGGAUGGCCCACCUAAACUUGUGGAUACUACUGACAGCAAAGUGGCUGGAAAAACCCCAGUCAGACUGCUGGCAUGUGAACCAGCCAGAACCUUGAAAACUGCAUAAGUAACGCGUUAAAGCAAGCAGAUACAGCCGUAGUAAGCGCGAAAGCUGUAAUGCUUGCUGUGUAUAAACCAAUGUGGUCAAGCUAAUCAGGGCUGACGGUGGAUACCUAGGCACACAGAGGCGAAGAAGGACGUGGCGACCGACGAAAAGCUCCGGGGAGCUGGAAGCAAGCAUCGAGCCGGAGAUCUCCGAAUGGGGCAACCCUAAAUACUACCUGCUGAAUAUAUAGGCAGGCUUGAGCCAACCCAGCGAACUGAAACAUCUUAGUAGCUGGAGGAACAAAAAGAAAAAUCGAUUCCCUAAGUAGUGGUGAGCGAACAGGGAACAGCCUAAACCAGCUGUUACGACAGUUGGGGUAGUGGGACAGCAACAAUAGAUAGUCUAGUCUAAACGAAGCAGUUGGCAUACUGCACCAGAGAAGGUGAAAGUCCUGUAAUUGAAAGGCGAAACUGCUAUAGCUGAAUCCCGAGUAGCACGGGGCACGAGGAAUCCCGUGUGAAUCAGCGAGGACCAUCUCGUAAGGCUAAAUACUACUGUGUGACCGAUAGUGAACCAGUACCGCGAGGGAAAGGUGAAAAGAACCCCGCAAGGGGAGUGAAAUAGAACAUGAAACCGUCAGCUGUCAAGCAGUGGAAGGACGAUUCAACGUCUGACCGCGUGCCUGUUGAAGAAUGAGCCGGCGACUUAUAAGCAGUGGCAGGUGAAGGCGAGAAUGCCACAACCAAAGCGAAAGCGAGUCUGAAUCGGGCGUUAAAGUCACUGUUUAUAGACCCGAACCCGGGUGAUCUAACCAUGUCCAGGAUGAAGCUUGGGUAACGCCAAGUGGAGGUCCGAACCGACCGAUGUUGAAAAAUCGGCGGAUGAGGUGUGGUUAGGGGUGAAAUACCAAUCGAACCCGGAGCUAGCUGGUUCUCCCCGAAAUGUGUUGAGGCGCAGCGGUUGUGAAUAUAGCCUGGGGGUAAAGCACUGUUUCGGUGCGGGCUGCCUUAAGCGGUACCAAAUCGAGACAAACUCAGAAUACCAGGUGCACACACAACCAGUGAGACGGUGGGGGAUAAGCUCCAUCG